CUUUUUGAAAGGUCCCGCCCCAGUGACAGCAUUCAUCCGUUUGAAAGGUUUUAUAUAAGGUGAAGAGGGAAGUCAAGACACUCAAGAACAGAACAACUCAAGAUACAGGAAGAGAAACACAAUGAACGCAUAUGUGAAGACAAACACAUUCUACAUUUCAAUCUGGAUUUGGCUCAUUUUAGGUGCUGAAAGCUGCAGUGAUAGGUCAAAACAUGUAUUAACUAUUUAUCCUGGAGGAUCUGUCACCAUCCCAUGUCAUUAUGACAAGAAAUACACACAGCAGAAGAAAUCCUGGUACUCAGAGAUUAAUAACUCUAAAACAUACACAAACACAACAGAGCAGAAUCUGACAGUAAUUGAUCAUCCUGAUCAGAGUCUCUUUACUGUGACUAUGAGAAACCUGCAGAACAAACACAAUGGACUUUAUUAUUGUGUUGUGGAGACUGGAG